AUCUCUUUGGAGACAUCCGAUAAAAUUGUAACUAUGCAGAGAAGAUUAGCAUAACCCCUUGUGCAAGUAUCAUACACACAAAUCGAGUUGUUUCUAAAAAAGGC